UACAGAGGUCUCAAGCGUUGUUCGGAUUCAUUGGGCGUAAAGGGUGCGUAGGUGGCGGGGUAAGUCAGGUGUGAAAUUUCGGGAGCUUAACUCCGAAACUGCAUUUGAUACUGCCUUGCUUGAGGACUGGAGAGGAGACUGGAAUUUACGGUGUAGCAGUGAAAUGCGUAGAUAUCGUAAGGAAGACCAGUGGCGAAGGCGGUCUCUGGACAGUUCCUGACACUGAGGCACGAAGGCUAGGGAGCAAACGGG
rnacentral:rRNA from 1 species